GCGCUACACUGAUGCAUUCAACAAGCCUAUCCCUAGCCGAAAGGCUCGGGUAAUCUUUGAAACUGCAUCGUGAUGGGGAUAGAUUAUUGCAAUUAUUAGUCUUCAACGAGGAAUGCCUAGUAAGCGCAAUUCAUCAGAUUGCGUUGAUUACGUCCCUGCCCUUUGUACACACCGCCCGUCGCUCCUACCGAUUGGGUGUGCUGGUGAAGUGUUCGGAUUGGCAAUUAUCGGUGGCAACACCGUCGAUUGCCGAGAAGUUCAUUAAACCCUCCCACCUAGAGGAAGGAGAAGUCGUAACAAGGUUUCCGUAGGUGAACCUGCGGAAGGAUCAUUGAAUAUGCAAACCACAACACGCACUCUCUACUUGUGUACCGACGUUAAGUUACACACGCAAGUGUGUGCUUACUAACUUACACACCAUUGUCCAACCAAUGAUUAAACCAAACUCUGAAGUUUUGGCUGCUGUUAAUCGGCAGUUUUAACCAAGAACAACUCUCAACAACGGAUAUCUUGGCUCUCGCAACGAUGAAGAACGCAGCGAAAUGCGAUACGUAGUGUGAAUUGCAGAAUUCCGUGAACCAUCGAAUCUUUGAACGCAUAUUGCGCUCGACUCCUCGGAGAAGAGCAUGUCCGCCUCAGCGUCGGUUUUCACCCUCACCCCUCUUACUUUUCAAGUAAACCUGCCGUGUUUGCUCAAACCGGCAAUAGGGGUGGAUCUGGCUCUCCCAACUGAUUUCUAAUCGGUUGGGUUGGCUGAAGCACAGAGGCUUAAACUGGGACCCAUAUCGGGCUCAACUGGAUAGGUAGCAACACCCUCGGGUGCCUACACGAAGUUGUGUCUGAGGACCUGGUUAGGAGCCAAGCAGGAAACACGCUUAAACGCGUGUAUCAUGGGUUCGACCUGAGCUCGGGCAAGGCUACCCGCUGAACUUAAGCAUAUCACUAAGCGGAGGAAAAGAAACUAACAAGGAUGCGCUUAGUAACGGCGAGCGAACCGCGCAAAGCCCAACUUGAAAAUCUCCCUCGGAGAAUUGUAGUCUAUAGAAGUACCCUCUGCAACGGGCUGAGCUAAAGUCUCCUGGAAAGGGGCGUCAAAGAGGGUGAGAACCCCGUAAGCUCACGCUUAGUUGCCUCACGAGGUGCUUUCGAAGAGUCGGGUUGCUUGGGAAUGCAGCCCAAAUUUGGUGGUAAUCCC
rnacentral:rRNA from 1 species